UACGUAGGCAGCAAGCGUUGUUCGGAGUUACUGGGCGUAAAGGGUGCGUAGGCGGCCCUGUAAGUAUGGUGUGAAAUCUCCCGGCUUAACUGGGAGGGUGCGCUAUAGACUGCGGGGCUCGAGUGUGGGAGAGGAAAGUGGAAUUCCUGGUGUAGCGGUGAAAUGCGUAGAUAUCAGGAGGAACACCGGUGGCGAAGGCGGAUCUCUGGGCCAUUACUGACGCUGAGGAGCGAAAGCGUGGGGAGCGAACAGG
rnacentral:rRNA from 1 species